rnacentral:rRNA from 1 species
UACAGGGGGGGCAAGCGUUGUUCGGAAUUACUGGGCGUAAAGCGUGCGUAGGUGGUUUGUUAAGUCUGAUGUGAAAGCCCUGGGCUCAACCUGGGAAUUGCAUUGGAUACUGGCAGGCUAGAGUGCGGUAGAGGAUGGCGGAAUUCCCGGUGUAGCAGUGAAAUGCGUAGAGAUCGGGAGGAACAUCUGUGGCGAAGGCGACCAUCUGGACCAGCACUGACACUGAGGCACGAAAGCGUGGGGAGCAAACAGG